rnacentral:rRNA from 1 species
AACGAACGCUGGCGGCAUGCCUAACACAUGCAAGUCGAACGAGACCUUCGGGUCUAGUGGCGCACGGGUGCGUAACGCGUGGGAACCUGCCCUUAGGUUCGGAAUAACUCCCCGAAAGGGGUGCUAAUACCGGAUAAUGUCUUCGGACCAAAGAUUUAUCGCCUUUGGAUGGGCCCGCGUUGGAUUAGCUAGUUGGUAGGGUAAAAGCCUACCAAGGCGACGAUCCAUAGCUGGUCUGAGAGGAUGAUCAGCCACACUGGGACUGAGACACGGCCCAGACUCCUACGGGAGGCAGCAGUGGGGAAUAUUGGACAAUGGGCGAAAGCCUGAUCCAGCAAUGCCGCGUGAGUGAUGAAGGCCUUAGGGUUGUAAAGCGCUUUUACCCGGGAUGAUAAUGACAGUACCGGGAGAAUAAGCACCGGCUAACUCCGUG